UCAUAGCAGGAAAAUAAGGCCUAAGCCAG
rnacentral:piRNA from 1 species